GAUGAACGCUAGCUACAGGCUUAACACAUGCAAGUCGAGGGGCAGCGAGAAAAAAGCUUGCUUUCUUUGUCGGCGACCGGCGCACGGGUGAGUAACGCGUAUCCAACCUUCCCCUUAGUAGGGCAUAGCCCGGCGAAAGUCGGAUUAAUACCCUAUGUUCUUCGUAGAGGACAUCUGAAAUGAAGCCAAGACUUGUCGCUAAGGGAUGGGGAUGCGUCUGAUAAGGUAGUCGGCGGGGUUACGGGCCCACCGAGCCUGCGAUCAGUAGGGGUUCUGAUAGGAAGGUCCCCCACAUCGGAACUGAGACACGGUCCAAAAUUCUACGGGGAGGCAGCAGUGAAGAAUAUUGGUCAAUGGGCGCGAGCCCUGAACCAGCCAAGUAGCGUGCAGGAUGACGGCCCUAUGGGUUGUAAACUGCUUUUAUGCGGGGAUAAAGUGCACCACGUGUGGUGUUUUGUAGGUACCGCAUGAAUAAGGACCGGCUAAUUCCGUGCCAGCAGCCGCGGUAAUACGGAAGGUCCGGGCGUUAUCCGGAUUUAUUGGGUUUAAAGGGAGCGCAGGCUGAUUGUUAAGCGUGACGUGAAAUGUAGCCGCUCAACGGCUGAACUGCGUCGCGAACUGGCAGUCUUGAGUGAGUACGACGUCAGCGGAAUUCGUGGUGUAGCGGUGAAAUGCUUAGAUAUCACGAAGAACCCCGAUUGCGAAGGCAGCUGACGAGUCCUUUACUGACGCUAAAGCUCGAAGGUGCGGGUAUCGAACA
rnacentral:rRNA from 1 species